rnacentral:RNase_P_RNA from 1 species
GCGGAGGGCCGGACGGCCGCUUGGCCGGUUCGCCGGCCGGGAGGAAAGUCCGGACUCCCUGAAGCAGCGGUGCCGGGUAACGCCCGGGCGGGGCAACCCGACGGAGAGCGCCACAGAGAACAGACCGCCCCGGCAUGGCGGAGGUUCGCCUCCGGCAGGUCCGGGGCAAGGGUGAAACGGUGGAGUAAGAGCCCACCGCGCCCCCGGCAACGGGGGCGGCAUGGCAAGCCCCACCGGGAGCAAUGCCGAAUAGGACCCCCGCGCGGGACCGGUCCCUUCGGGGAAACCGCCGCUAGGCUCGCUUCAGCCGAGAGGGGUCGGGUUGGCAGCACGAGCCGCACAGCGAUGCGCGGCCCAGAUGAAUGGUCGUCGCCGGGGGCAACCCCGGAACAGAAUCCGGCUUACAGGCCCUCCGCGCAU